rnacentral:rRNA from 1 species
UACGAAGGGGGCUAGCGUUGCUCGGAAUUACUGGGCGUAAAGGGCGCGUAGGCGGAUAUUUAAGUCGGGGGGUGAAAGCCCAGGCUCAACCCUGGAACAGCCUUCGAUACUGGAUAUCUUGAGUUCGGGAGAGGUGAGUGGAACUGCGAGUGUAGAGGUGAAAUUCGUAGAUAUUCGCAAGAACACCAGUGGCGAAGGCGGCUCACUGGCCCGAUACUGACGCUGAGGUGCGAAAGCGUGGGGAGCAAACAGGG